UACGGAAGGGGCGAGCGUUGUUCGGAUUCACUGGGCGUAAAGGGUGCGCAGGUGGUCGGGUAAGUCUGAUGUGAAAUCCCGCAGCUCAACUGCGGAAUGGCAUUGGAUACUAUUUGGCUAGAGGGUUGGAGGGGGGACUGGAAUUCUCGGUGUAGCAGUGAAAUGCGUAGAUAUCGAGAGGAACACCAGUGGCGAAGGCGAGUCCCUGGACAACUCCUGACGCUGAGGCACGAAAGCUAGGGGAGCAAACAGG
rnacentral:rRNA from 1 species